rnacentral:lncRNA from 1 species
GAGCAAUCCAUUGUGGGAUUCACGCAAAUUGAAAUAAAUCCGCAUAUACCAGAGUUUGUUUCCUUUAUUCAUGAUGAUGUUGCGGAUGAAGGAGAAACAGUGAAGGGUUCUUGUUCUUCACAGGUGAGCAUAUCAUGAGGACCAGCUUCUUCUCGGCCAACUCCCAAAAGGUCAAGGUAAUAAAGGUAAUGAGAGAUCAUAUUGUUCAUGGAAUCACUAUCACCUUGACCACAAACUUGGUCACCAUAAAGAACAUUCAUGGUGGUUCCAAAACCUGGAACCCUCUUGGCCAAGGUGUCGUUCUUGGUUGGUUUCCAGUUGCCAACGAAAACGUCAUGGGCUGAGGGUUGGUGUUUCUUCACCGGCGUCAUCCACCUCCACAUUGCUGUCUGGAAAGCCAAGGUUGCGUUGUCUUCUAAGUAUUCUGGGUGGUUCAACAAGUCCACCUUCAAAGCCUCUCCAGCUUCCCCAUAGUUGUAGUUCCAGUAGAUAGGCAAGGCACCACGGCCAUGAUAUGAGACUCCUGGUGUGCAAGGAUAGGUGUAUUUGUAGUAAUCAUCGCAAUAUAUUUUGCUAGGGCUCAUUUCUUUGUUGUAGCAAAGACCCCAAGCCAAUGGUCCCCCGGUAGCGACUCCGUAGCCACCUGAAAUUAUUAUAAACCAGAGCCAUUGUUCAAGAAUAACAAACAGUUAGAUAAGCCACAUUCGUUUAACAUUGCUCUUGGAUGAUCAAAAGUAAUAUUAAACACUUUUAACUAAUCACAUAUUUACUUACAUGAAGUUUUGCUGCCGACAUGUCCAAGAAAAGCAGCGACUUCCUUCAUAUUCUGGAGCUUUUCCCCAGUGGUACCAAAUCCAUGAGGCUGAUACUGAGCAGCAGCCGUAAUGAAAGAAUGGUAAUCCCAGAACCCAACCGCAUGAGCUACCGGCGUGUUACGCUUCGCAAAAAGGUCCUCAAACUGGUAAGUUUGGAAGUAAUCAGAAAUGGUAUGGUUGCAACAAUACUUUGACCACCCUUUACAUUCCCACCCUUUGUCACACAGCUUCUUGCCCUUUACCAUCUUCACCAAUGGCUUCACAGAUUCCUGGCAGUUGGCCAGUGCCAUCAGCAUUGCCGCCACUGAAAAAAGAACCAGCCAUUUGGCUUCCAUUAUCAAAGAUUCAAAGCAAAAUGUGGUGGUUGUGGUUUGGGUUUGGAGUGGAGGAACCAACACUGGGAGUUUAUAGUAAAGAUUUGGGGAAUGUUUUUGAGUGCUGCAGUGAAAGGGUUAGAAAGUGAGGUUAGAACUGAUUAGGGGAAGGGCGAUUUUCAGGGUUGAUGACUGAUGGGCACUCACACUCACACUAGUGUCAAGUUUUGCUUGCGUUUUUUGCUUCUUAGAGUGAAAGCAACGAAUAGCUUAAAGCAAAAUGUUGAUGUUCUAUUCUUACUCUGCACACUUGGCUUGGCUUCUAGGAUUCAUUGGUUCGGUUUUAAUCAGUUCUGGAUGAGAUAAUUUUUUUUUUAAAUAUGAGCUUAAUUCAAAUCGCCAUCUUUAUCGUUUUAGAUUAUUGAUUAAUUUAUUAAAAAAAAAACAGUUUUAUAUAACCUUUUAAAAAUUAUGAACCGAAACCAAAACCAAACUAAAUUUAAUAAAAUUGAAUCUUUUCAAUUUUUCCAUUUCUUUCCUGAGCCCUAGACUGGCUUGGACCUGGACCACUUGGGGUUUUUUGGGAUUCAUAAUUCAUUGUCCUGAAACUUUUUCUUUUGGGCCAAAGACUUCUCAUGGGCUGGAAGGGGAUAAUGUCAUAUUUGAUAUAUAUACUUUUAUAAAAUGUUCAAAAUGAUAUUUAUAUUUUGAAAAUUUCUAAUGUGAUACUUGAACUAUCAAUUUAUGUAUUAUUUGGUACUUUUAUUUUCAUAAAGUGAUACCUGUACUUUAAAAAUAUUCAAUGUACAUAAAAUUAACACCCUGAAUAAAUCAUAUCAAGCCAAUUUCUUUUCGAGAUUUCGAAUGUUGAGAUGUUAGAAGACUAUGGAAGAUUUGCAGUUCUCAUUGUUAAAAGAAAUUUUCAUCGAUGUUGAACGCUGGUCUCGGUUCCAUUUCAUACGUUUUCGCACAACUUGGAUUGAAGUUACAGGCGCUCCUUUGCACGCUUGGAACCUAGAGACGUUCAAAAGCGUUGCUAAUUAUUAGGGUGAUUUUAUUUCCAUGGAGUCUAACUCGCUUAAUAUCGGCUAAUCAGUUGAAACAAAUUGAGGAACUCAUUAUUCCUGAAUGUGGAGGUGAACAUUUCCGAAGUUGGGGAUUCACAGCCUUUGAAUCUGGAGGUGGACGUGCUAAAUUCUCAUAUGGUCAUUUUGAUUUUGCUAAAGAAGAUUCGUCUGGUGGUGGAAGGAGUUGAGAGGUUGAAGAUACAUUUAAUGAAGAGGUGAGGUAGUGACGAGAGGUUCUAGGAAAUCAAAGGAAUUAGCAGAGAACUUAGACCCGAUUAUUGCUAUUGCCUCGAGAAAUGAUUAGAACGAGGCUUUGGGGAGCAACUCAACAUCCAUUGAUUUCUCAUCGAGAAAAAGGAAGGUGAGUGGUAUUGGGUCUAAUCACGGGUUGAAACUGGGCCAGAAGAUUAUUUUAGCAAGGUCACAAGAUAAAAUUAUAUAUGAUGCGGGCCAGUUUAAUAGGACAAGUUUUGGGCCUUAUUUGUUGAAGGCAAGUUCACACUUCGGUCACGAUGAAAUGAUGGGUUGCGGAGCAGAUUUGAAAGAUGUGUGUUAGGAUCGACCCGAUUAAGCAAUAAGUAAAAAAAUAGCGAAAUAAAUUGAGAAAUUGAACGCACAAAUUUAACGUGGAAAAAUCCUUCCAAAGAGGAUAAAAAGUCACGGGUAAGAAUAAUUUUACUAUAAUGACAAAAGAACGAAGAGUACAAAAGAUAGAGAUAAAAACUAAACCCCGAAAGCCCAAAAAUAAAGAACUCUCAAAACGUAAACACAAAAUUCUCUAACACCUUGUUUGGUUGGGUGUAAUGGAUUAGCCAUUACACCCCGAAUCGGUGGCCCCACUGAAUACAGCGUUUGGUUCGUUGUUUUCCCUAAUACGGGCCUAAUCCGUUGCGAACGGAUUCCGCAGUUUGGCUGCUUCACCACCGAUUUCUAAUCCCUUGCAAAAGCAAAGAUUAGGUAAUCGGUGUCUCAUUUACCCUCCCCUUACCGAAAUCGACUCCAGCCGACCCUCUCCCUCCCAACAUCAACAGAAGGUGCCGGCGAACCAAACCUCUACCCGCUCCCAAUUUCAGCUUUGCAUCCUUCUCUGACUCGACGGUGUCAGAUCUCCGGACGGCUUGAAUCAGUAAUCUCCGCCUCUGAGUAACCUAUUUCUUUCCUCUCUGCAUGCGAUUGUUUCAGUUCUUGCCAGUUAUGGUUUUUUUUUCAUUGUUUGUUUGUUUGUCCUGAAUUACAGGUUCUUUGCUCCAGCAGUUCUUCAUCGGUCUCCUCUCUUAUUUCCUCAUUACAGGUUAGUUUCCCCUCAUUGCAUGUGGCUAUACAAUUGUUUGCAGUGGCUGCAUAAUUUAUUAAAUGUGGCUCCAUCUACUUGAUCAGUCAGAAAUGAAAACAAAGGACUAUGAAUGCUCAUGUCCUGUUUGGAUUUGUAGGCUUUUUGAGAUUUUUGUUGAAUAGAAACACUCUGAUAUUCUGUCAUGGCUACUGCAAUUUAACAUGCAUAUAAUGAGCUCUAGAAUGACAGCAUAGUCCUGGUUGCCAUAAAAUUUCUCGGUGGUUGUUUUCAAAAUGAAUCUAAACUAGACAGAGAUUCCAACAUAUAUAUCUUGAGCAAGUACCAAAAAAAGAGAUCAUCUUUAAAACUGACUUGACUACUUCAACUUUGAAUGCUUUGAAAUGUUUGCUCACUGAUAAAUGUUUGAAAUGGUGCUGUUAAUUUGGUACUGUUAACUUUGAAUGCUUUGAAAUGUUUGGAAUGGUGCUGUUAAUUUGGUACUGUUAACUUUGAAUGCUUUGAAAUGUUUGAAAUGGUGCUGUUACUACUUCAACUUUGAAUGCUUUGAAAUGUUUGCUCACUGAUAAAUGUUUGAAAUGGUGCUGUUAAUUUGGUACUGUUAACUUUGAAUGCUUUGAAAUGUUUGAAAUGGUGCUGUUACUACUUCAACUUUGAAUGCUUUGAAAUGUUUGCUCACUGAUAAAUGUUUGAAAUGGUGCUGUUAAUUUGGUACUGUUAACUUUGAAUGCUUUGAAAUGUUUGAAAUGAAUUAACACCCAAGUACAUUUACUGCUAAUUUGAUCUCCAAAUUGGUGUGGAAUUAUGAAACUAAGAGAGUUUUUUCCUAUAUGUUGCUUUUACGUUUCACUCUUUUUGAAAUAUUUAGCUGACAAGGUCUCCUUCCACUGUAUCUGCUUCUGGCCAUAUAUGAGAAACCAAGAAAACCCUUUCUUAUUCGGCUUUAUAUUAUAUAUUGAAGUGAAAAUGAAGCCAUGACUUGUACCUCUAGUGGAUGGCACCCAAGGAAGAUAAAUUACCCAAAGCUUUCUUCAU